GACGAACGCUGGCGGCGUGCUUAACACAUGCAAGUCGAACGGAAAGGCCCUGCUUUUGUGGGGUGCUCGAGUGGCGAACGGGUGAGUAACACGUGAGUAACCUGCCCUUGACUUUGGGAUAACUUCAGGAAACUGGGGCUAAUACCGGAUAUGAGCUCCUGCUCCAUGGUGGGGGUUGGAAAGUUUCGGCGGUUGGGGAUGUACUCGCGGCUUAUCAGCUUGUUGGUGGGGUAGUGGCUUACCAAGGCUUUGACGGGUAGCCGGCCUGAGAGGGUGACCGGCCACAUUGGGACUGAGAUACGGCCCAGACUCCUACGGGAGGCAGCAGUGGGGAAUAUUGCACAAUGGGCGGAAGCCUGAUGCAGCAACGCCGCGUGCGGGAUGACGGCCUUCGGGUUGUAAACCGCUUUCGCCUGUGACGAAGCGUGAGUGACGGUAAUGGGUAAAGAAGCACCGGCUAACUACGUG
rnacentral:rRNA from 1 species